rnacentral:rRNA from 12 species
CUCGAAUCAGGUAGGACU